rfam:Erinaceus europaeus unplaced genomic scaffold scaffold00452, whole genome shotgun sequence
AGCUACGGCCAUACCAUGCUGAACACGCCUGAUCACUUCUGAUCUCGGAAGCUAAGUAAGCAGGGUCGGGCCUGGUUAGCACUUGGAUGGGAGAAAGGGGAAAAGUCUGCUGGCACAACCA